GAGGAAUUUUCCGCAAUGGGCGCAAGCCUGACGGAGCGACGCCGCGUGAGGGAUGAAGGCUUUCGGGUUGUAAACCUCUUUUGCAAGGGAAAAAGGUUCACGUGCUCAUACCACGUGAGUUUGAUGGUACUUUGCGAAUAAGCCCCGGCUAACUACGUGCCAGCAGCCGCGGUAAUACGUAGGGGGCGAGCGUUGUCCGGAGUUACUGGGCGUAAAGGGCGUGUAGGCGGUUGAAUAAGUCCGGUGUGAAAUUCCGAAGCUUAACUUCGGAACUGCGCUGGAUACUGUUUGACUGGAGUUUGGCAGGGGUAACUGGAAUUCCUGGUGUAACGGUGAAAUGUGUAGAUAUCAGGAGGAACACCUGUGGCGAAGGCGGGUUACUGGGCCACAACUGACGCUGAGACGCGAAAGCGUGGGUAGCAAAC
rnacentral:rRNA from 1 species